GACGAACGCUGGCGGCGUGCUUAACACAUGCAAGUCGAACGGAAAGGCCCUGCUUUUGUGGGGUGCUCGAGUGGCGAACGGGUGAGUAACACGUGAGUAACCUGCCCUUGACUUUGGGAUAACUUCAGGAAACUGGGGCUAAUACCGGAUAGGAGCUCCUGCUGCAUGGUGGGGGUUGGAAAGUUUCGGCGGUUGGGGAUGGACGCGCGGCUUAUCAGCUUGUUGGUGGGGUAGUGGUUUACCAAGGCUUUGACGGGUAGCCGGCCUGAGAGGGUGACCGGCCACAUUAGGACUGAGAGACGGCCCAGACUCCUACGGGAGGCAGCAGUGGGGAAUAUUGCACAAUGGGCGGAAGCCUGAUGCAGCAACGCCGCGUGCGGGAUGACGGCCUUCGGGUUGUAAACCGCUUUCGCCUGUGACGAAGCGUGAGUGACGGUAAUGGGUAAAGAAGCACCGGCUAACUACGUG
rnacentral:rRNA from 1 species